rnacentral:lncRNA from 1 species
GCCGAUCCCUUCCCCCGGCUCUAGGUUCCGCCUUUUAUAUCGCAAGGGGCCGGCCGGAGUUACAAUUGGGAACCGGGCAAAAGGUAAAGAGUGAGAGGGUAAAAAAGGUCUGGCGGGAAGGAGGGCAGGGGCCCAUGGCGCCCGAUGUCCUGCCGACCCUGAACGCGUGCCGUCGUGCAUGCUCGAAGGGGUCGCCGCCGGGUGCCAAGUGUUGCAGCUCCUCGCAGGUAGCUACUUCGACGUUCGUAGGUAUCAGGAUAGAUCAUGAUGAGGGGGUUUCGUCGUCACCUUGCCGUCCGUUAGGGAGGACGGUGGAUACCGCCGCUCUGACGAUGGCUUGUAGAGGGGGAGCUCCACGCCUGUACUGCCGCUUGCGCGGGGCCCGAGGGCGUGCGGGGCCCGAGGACGGGGCCGCCCCUUACUCCGCUCCGGUCGCCGCAGAUCAUGAGUACUUUGUGACGAAUGGGAGCUGGCCGCCAGUACUGUAGCUCGUACAGGAUGGUUGUGCGCGGGUACUUGCGCCGGGUCGCGUGGGGGGCGCGGUCGCCCUGCGCUCUGCCUUCUCUGCGGCGCAUUUAUGGUGAGGCCGACGGGGGGCCCCACCGGAUUUGUCUUGUCUACGCGGAGCGUAUCCGAGGAGGAUUCUGACCCGUGGGCCUCAGCGUGCCCGACUCCUUCGCUCGGGGUCGUGCAAGGCGGAACCUUUGUGGUACAGGGUCGGGGGCUCCCGACCCUGGGGACGCGGUCGGUCGAGGCGGAGACCCUGCGGAGGGAGGUCGGGUGCUCCCAGUCCUGACGCUGGGGUCGGUCAAGGCGGAGACUUGAUCACACUUUGGUGGGCCUAGGCCUUCAUGUUUGCUUCUUCAAGCUGUGUAUUAGGGGGCCGUUGAUAUUUCCCCCCGACAGUAGCCCCCGAGCCUGUGGUGGAGCAAGGGUGCUCCUCCGGAGGCUCUUUUUAGCUUGUUUCAUUAUUCACCGUGCUGGGGAGAACCUGUCAGUUUGUGACCACACGUGUGGUAGUUUUUUGCGAGGCUAGCCCCCGAGCUCCUGCUCGUUGCAGGAAACCGAUCGGCGGCCAGGUCGACUUUUUGAUCGUUGCCCCUCAAGCGUCUUUUCGCUAGGACGGAGGGGUUGAGCCGGGCCACGUUAUCCACGUAGGACGAACCGUGGUGCUCGUUUGAGCUGCAAGCGGGUAAGUUCGAGUGGAGUCCCGGUCCCCGUUCGGGGGGGUCCGGCUCGGGCCAAGCUGGUGGCGUACUCCAAUUUCCCGCCAGUCAGUUCAUAUAGUUCUCGGAUCCGUUCGAUUGGAUCUGAGGGCUCGUUGCCUUUCCCCGUGGAAAAACCAUGAACUUUAUACUGGGCGGGACUCGAACGUGAGGUUGGGGGCGCCCUUAGCGUUUGCUCGCCUGGGUGUUGGCCGCUAGCGGGCCCGUCCCUCCUCACCCCUCGCUCGGGGAUGUCCUGGGGCAGCUGUCGAACCCGUUGUUGGGCCAGCCUUUGAACCCCUGGACCGUAUUGGGCCGUAGGGGCAUUUUCAGCCCCGUAUCCCUUUCUUACCUUGUUGCGGGCGUUGGACCGGUGCGGGGCGGUUGGUAUGCCAGGGCCGAUCGUGCGGAGCGUCGUGGGCGCGAAGCCCGGGGAGUGGAGUUAUGGAAGCGCCGUCCCACGGAUCGAGGAAGAUAGGAUGUUUUUUCGCGGCCGAUCGUGCGCGCGUUUUUCGAAAGGAAACGGGCGUGACAGGAGCGUACCUGGCGCCGCAUUUAUGGUGGCCGGGGCGUCGGUUUGGCUUCCCCGGUACUCUUCCUAUAAAAGCUGGAACACGCCGCUCUGGUUCCUCUCCUUUCGCGCUCAAGCCUUCUUGCCUUCUAGCUCUUCCUGCGCUCGCUUUGCUUUCCUUGCUCCCGUUGCCAUUUGCCGUGCGUUUCGUCUUCGUCUUCGCCGGUCCUCUUCCCCCUUUGGCGAUGGCUUCCUGGGGAGUCUCCCACUUCACCGCCAAGCGCGCCGAAGGUCUGGUGCGGAAGGGGCUCCUCUGCGAGAGGACGGCGGCGGACGAGUGGAGGCUGCCGGAGACGGAGCAGGUUCCGUCGCCGCCCGCCGGCUACGUCGUCUCCUUCGCCCAUUUCCACGAGCGGGGAUUCGCCUCCCCUCCGAGCCGUUUCUUCCGCGGGCUGCUCCACUACUACGGGCUCGAGCUCCAGCACCUCAACCCCAACGGGAUCCAGCACAUUGCGGCGUUCGUCGUGUUGUGUGAGGGAUUCCUGGGGAUCGAGCCCCACUUCGAGCUGUGGAAGUACUUCUUCGCGGUUAGCCUCUACCAGAAGACCGGGAAGGUCGGGGGCCAGCAUCAGUCGCCCCCGGUGCCGAUUGGGUGCGCCGGCAUCCACCUCCGUCAUACUCGCUCCAAGGAGUAUAUGACGGUGAAGACCUCUGUGUCCCAUAAGGGGUGGCACAACCAAUGGUUCUACGUGAAGAACUACCCCAACUCCCCCUUGCCGACGUUCACCGGCCGCACCAUCGACACGGCGCCCGACGUGUGGGCGUACGGGCCGAUGGAGAAGGAGAAGAAGAAGAUCUUCGACCUCCUGCAGACCAUCGGGCAAUUGAAGCGGGAGGGGCUCACCGGUGCCGGUGUCAUCGGCGCCUACCACGCCCGGCGGGUGGCGCCGCUGAUGCUCCGGAUCCGGCCCCUCGGCGACAUGACCCCUGACAUGCCGCUCGAGGGCACCGUCCUGGCGGUAGGCGCGCUCGCCAACUCCGAGAUCCAGCAGCGGCUCCGGGAGGCGCUGGAGGACAAGGAUGUCGAGUACCCGGUCCCCGGGCACCCGCCGAUGCGCCCGGAGCCGGGCUUCGUGGACCUGGUAAGGCGUCUGGGUCACUACCUCUCCCCCCUGAUGUUCUGCCGUCUCAUUGUUCCGACGUGGAUCCUCUUUUUUGCCUCACAGGGCUCGCUGACCCGGGUUAAGGACUCCAUCCCGCCGGUGCCGGAGGAUGCCGCGCGGAGGGCUCUUAACCGUCUCCAGGCAGAGAAGGACAAGUGCCGCAAGGAUAAGGAGACGGAGAAAUGGCGGCAGAAGGCCGCCAAGGAGUACCGACGGCGGCGGAGAGGGGCGGUCGUGUCUGACGACGACGACGAUGAUGAAGAAGAAGAGGAAGAGGAAGAAGAGGAGGAGGAGGAGGAGGAAGUGGAGCUGUUUGCCCCCCGGUCGGGCUUUAGUGAUUCGCGACGCACCCCCGCAGACGGCGGCAGGGGGUGCGGCGGUGGGAGCGCCCGUGCGGGGUCCGGCUCCCUCCGGUCCUGGGGCCGUGCCUCAGGGGCCGGCACGGACCGCUCCUCAGGGGGCGACGCUGGGCGUCCCCCGGGGGUCGGCACAGGAUCCUCCCCAGCGAGGGACGUGGGGCGCCCCUUCAGGGUCGUCCCAGGGCACCCCCCAGGAGCAGGCGCGGGGUGCUCCUUUGGUGCCGGCAAGGGAUGCCGCCCCGGCGCCGAGCCGGAGCGUCCCUCAGGGGCCUUCAGGGCCCGCCCCUACCGCAUGUUGGUGGUAUGCCCUAGAGGCAAUCAUAGAGAUGAUGAUAUUCCAUUUGUAUCCAUGAUUUGUAUAUUGUGUUCAUUGAAUAUCCAUUAAAGGCUACUUGAAUUGAUUUGCAAUUAUGUGAAUUGUAUGUGAAACUCUUUACUUGUAUGGUUAUUCUAAAGUUGUCCCUAGUCGGAGUUCAUGUGAGGACACACAUGAAUAUUAGACUAGCACAUGUAUUAGUUGAUGACUAUGUUUCACAAGUCAUGGACAUGAAGAUGUUGAACUAAUAAUGUGGACACAUGUGGAGACAUGUGUUAGGACUGACCCAACACGAGAAGUAGUUCUCUCUUUAAACAACAUAUACGCUUUAUCCUUAGACCUGAGAUUGUCGCAUGUAUUCUAGAUGUGGAUUGACCUACUUAGGGGCUAUCAAACGCUACACCGUAACAGGGUAGUUAUAAAGGUAGCUUUCGGGUUUGUCAAGAAGCAUGCUAUGAGACAUGGUCAAUCAAGAUGGGAUUUGCCCCUCUCUGAUUGAGAGUGAUAUCUCUGGGCCCCUCGAGUGAUCGGAUCAGAAAAUGCAUGGCCAUGCUACGUACGGUUAAGAGUUAACCUACAAAGGGAUUCCGAAUCACAGGAUCGAGAAAGAGCGGUCGGCUUGAGGCUAGACCAAAUAUCGUGAGGCAAAGGGAAUAGCAUGUAUAUUAUGUUGUGAUGGUUCGUCUGAUAUGAUCUUCGUGUGCGUAUAGGAGUUGGCACGUCUUGCUAGAGGCCGCUACCGACUAUUGGGCCGAGUAGGAGUACUCGGGCUAUGUCUAUACGUAUCCGAACCCAUAGGGUCACACACUUAAGGGGCUGGAAGCUCAAUUCGGAUCUGAUCCGAGUUGGAUUAGGUUUAGGAGUACUAAUGGGCCUCGGAUCCAGAGGCCCAUCAGGAACCUCUAUAAAUAGAGGGGUGGGGGCGCCCUAGGGUUUACACCUUUUGGCGAAACACACCUGCCGCGCCUCCCACGCCCUCGCCUAUUGCAACUCGCGGAUCUAGCAGUCCGGCUUGCGACGCUUCCUCCCUGCACGUGUGGAUACCUUGGAGGUGUUGCGCCUGCAGCACUUGGACGAGCCAUCGACAAGCCGCCGACGAGCCACGACGAGCCGACGACGAGCCGUGGCACCGGAGGUGAUCUUGCUGCACGUGGACGAGCUGCUGAGGAGCUGCUGGACGUGAUCGACUACGUAUGACUACGUGAUCGUCUUCACUGCACCGACGCAUAUCUACAUCUUCCGCACCAGUAGUGCGUCGAGUGGUAAUCCCGUGAUCCUUAUACGGCAGUUCUUCCUGGUUAUACGCGGUAGAAAAUUUUGUUUUGCGCUAGCGUAGCCUACCUCGUAUCCCAACAGUGGUAUCAGAGCCGUAGCUGCUUAGUUUUGGAUUCGGGAUGUGUGCAUAUGGAGAUAUGCGAGUUCUCUGUUUGAUCUAUGUCCUGAUUUCGUGCCCUUGCUGCAAUGGUAGUGUAACGACAUACUCCUACCGGUCGGUUUCCGCCAUCGGAGUUAAGUGAUACAUGUAAAUCCAGUUGCAGUGAGGGAAGAUCAAUAUGAUUGGUCGAAUCAAGAUCCAGGGUCAUACGCCAGGCGCAUUAGAUGUGCAAUGGUAGAUGGGAUCUACUGCCGGGGUCGGGAUUUUGCCGUAUGCGCAUGCUUCGUUAAAUCAGCCGUAACUUUUCGGUACGAUCUCGGAUCGGGGCGAUUUCUAUACGAAAAUUGAUCUACAGAAAAAGUUACACGUGAAUUUCAAUGGCUUUGCCAUUUUCGGCGAAAUUAGAUUUGCCAAAUUCAGCUUGGAAGAUGGAGUUUCGGACCUCCGAAGUUUGGAACGUUAGGACGCCUAACUCUCUUUUGCAGGAUGUAUGUAUAUAUCUUGUGAUCAGUAUGGCCCCCUUGUGUAUGUGAUGCAUGUGUGUAACUCAUUCGUGACCUGCGUGUCACGCGUACGGCAACACGGCAGGAGCCAUAUGUGUUGUCACUUUAAUGUAUUUAAUGGUCUGCGUACCAAUCUGUGAUGAUCCAAGCAACUAUGUAAUCUUCUUUACUAGCUAUUAGGCGUAAUAGCAUGCUCUAGUUCUUGGAGGACUCAUCACCAGGAGGAUGGCGCACAUGGAACAUGGAGAUGGAGAUCACCAUGGUGAACAGGUUCUAUGGAGAUGGAGAUCACCAUAUGAAAACGGGCCAUACUGUGUCACAACUGUGUGAAUGCUAUUCUGUUUAUGUUUUACUUUCUGCAUGCUGUGAUGUUAGAAGUAGAACGAUCCCUCACAAAGUUUAAGUUAGUAUGCCCUCCCAACUAAAACUUGCACCGUCCCAUGUCUUGUACAAUUAGUGGUGGGUCUAUGAAAUUAGGGUGUCACUAUUUUUCCUUGACUAGACGGGUUUGUGUCGGACACUUACACGCAUAAGGGUUGGUUUGCUUAACAAGGUCAUCUUAACGGUUAAGGACCUUGGGGCAUAAAGGUUGGGCGCCGAGACAUGGAGAUGUCACCCAACAACAGGAGUCAUAUGUGAUAUGAUUAGCAAAAGUUGCUUACCGAUCUACCUCGUUUGCUAGCGGUGAUGCUAAAGCUCACUAGUCGACUUGUUAGUUGUGGAUCCUGAAUCACUAAGUUUCAAUAGAGGGAUAUUGAUUUUAGUGGGAGUAGAUUCUGUUAAAAUAGUUUAAUAUAAUUUGCUCUAUCAUGGAUACGUUUGUCUUAGUGUAUUUUGCAUUACUUUUGUUGUAGAUUAAAUGGCACCUAGCAACACCACCACAUCGUUUGCUUUGCGUUCGGUCCUUGAGAAGGACAAGUUGAAUGGAACAAACUACUCGGAUUGGAUCCGUAACCUGAGAAUUGUUCUCAGGGUUGAGAAAAAGGAAGAUGUUCUAGACAACCCACUACCAGAAGAACCUGCUGAUGAUGCACCCGCUGCUGCUAAGACUGCUUACAAGAAGGCAUGUGAUGCUAACCUUGAAGUAAGCUGCCUUAUGCUUGCUUGCAUGGAACCUGAGCUGCAGAUGCAGUUCGAAACAAACCAUGAGGCGCACGAUAUGAUCGUGGCGCUUAGAGACAUGUUCCAAACACAGGCCAGGACUGAAAGGUUCAAUGUGUCUAAGGCCUUUGUUGAGAGCAAGCUAGCAGAAGGCGCAGCAGUAGGACCACACGUAAUCAAGAUGGUUGGUUACACUCAAUGGUUGGAGAAGCUAGGCUUCCCACUGGGCCAAGAGUUGGCCACUGAUUUCAUUCUUUCGUCUCUUCCGCCUAGCUAUGGGAACUUCAUCUCGAACUACCAUAUGCAUGGGACGGAGAAGGGUCUGAAUGAGCUGUGUGGUAUGCUCAAGACAGCAGAGGCUGACAUUAAGAAAAGCGCUAGUACCAGCCAUGUGAUGGCGAUACAGAACAAGCCCAGCUUUAAGAAGAAGGGCAAUUCUUGGAAGAAGAAGGGCAAGGCUGGAACGUCCAAGCCAAACCCACCGCCCAAGGCUAAAGCUGGACCUGCUCCAGAUAAAGAGUGCUUUUACUGUCAUGAACUUGGUCACUGGAAGAGAAACUGCAAGCAGUACCUAGCUUCGUUGAAGAACGGUGGAAGUAAGAGUACUUCUACCUCAGGUAUGCUUGUUGUUUAUGUUAUAGACAACAUAUUUCUCGCCGAUACAGUUAUUAAUUCUUGGGUAUUUGAUACCGGAUCGGUUGCUCAUAUUUGCAAUUCGAUGCAGGGAAUGAUAAGAAGUAGAAGCGUGGAAAGAGGAGAAGUUGAUUUCCGCGUGGGCAAUAAUGCAAGAGUUGCUGCUUUGACCGUCGGGACGAUGCAACUCCACCUCCCGUCAGGAUUUAUUAUGGAGUUGAAUAAUUGUUAUUUUGUUCCUAGUUUAAGUCGAAACAUUUUAUCUCCUUCAUGUUUGAUGAAGGAUGGUUAUUCAUUUGCGAGUGAAAACAAUGGUUGUGUGAUCUCUAAGAAUAAUAUGUUUAUGGCUUUUGCACCCAUUGUGAAUGGAUUGUUUGUUUUAAAUCUUGAUGGUUCACCUGUCUGUAAUGUAAGUGCUAAAAGGCCUCGGCCUAAUGAUUUGAGUCCUACCUACUUGUGGCAUUGUCGUUUGGGUCAUAUAAGUGAUAAGCGCAUGAAGAAGCUCCAUUCUGAUGGACUUCUAACUUCGUUUGAUUUUGAAUCAUACGAGACAUGUGAGGCUUGCUUGCUAGGCAAGAUGACCAAGACGCCUUUCACAGGAUUUCCUGAGAGAGCAGUAGACUUGUUGGAACUCGUACAUAGUGAUGUAUGCGGACCAAUGAGCACGACGGCUAGAGGAGGAUUCCAAUACUUCAUAACUUUCACUGAUGAUUUUAGUAGAUAUGGCUAUGUCUACUUGAUGAGGCACAAGUCUGAAACCUUUGAAAAGUUCAAGGAAUUUCAGAAUGAAGUUGAAAAUCAGCGUGGCAAGAAAAUUAAGGCCUUACGAUCUGAUCGUGGAGGCGAGUAUUUGAGCCACGAGUUUAGCAAUCAUCUAAAGAGUUGCGGAAUUGUUCCACAACUUACGCCGCCUGGAACACCUCAGAGAAAUGGUGUGUCCGAGCGACGUAAUCGAACUUUGUUAGACAUGGUUCGAUCAAUGAUGAGCCAGUCGGACCUACCGUUGUCAUUUUGGGGAUACGCUCUAGAAACAGCAGCUUUCACACUUAAUAGGGUACCAUCUAAAUCCGUAGUUAAGACACCAUAUGAGAUGUGGACUGGAAAGGUUCCUAGUUUGUCUUUUCUAAAGAUUUGGGGAUGUGAAGUGUUUGUCAAGCGACUUCAGUCGGACAAGAUCACACCCAAGUCGGAUAAGUGCAUUUUCGUGGGAUAUCCAAAGGAAACUUUGGGAUAUUAUUUUUACAACCGAUCAGAAGGCAAAGUGUUUGUCGCUCGGAACGGGGUUUUCCUAGAGAAAGAGUUUCUCAAAGGAGAAAAGAGUGGAAAGACAGUGCAUCUUGAAGAAGUUCAAGAUGAGCCAAUCGGGCAAGAAUCAAUGAGUGAUGCUAACGUAGCAGAACAAGUUGAGAUACCCAUGGCAAGAGAAGCACCGCCACAACCACGAAGGUCGGCAAGGCUCCGCGAAAUGCAGGAAAUAUUAUUGUUGGACAAUGAUGAGCCUACGACAUAUGCAGAAGCAAUGAUGGACCCAGACUCCGAAAAAUGGCAGAGUGCCAUGCAAUCCGAAAUAGAGUCCAUGGGAGACAAUCAAGUUUGGAACUUGGUUGACCCGCCUGAUGGUGUUAAAGCCAUAGAGUGCAAGUGGAUCUAUAAGAAGAAAAAGGACAUGGAUGGAAAUGUUCACAUCUACAAAGCACGACUUGUCGCAAAAGGUUUUCGACAAGUUCAAGGAGUUGACUACGACGAGACCUUCUCGCCCGUAGUGAUGCUUAAGUCCAUUCGGAUUAUUCUAGCUAUAGCUGCAUAUUUCGAUUAUGAGAUAUGGCAGAUGGAUGUCAAGACAGCUUUCCUGAAUGGAAACCUAGCUGAGGACGUGUAUAUGAUACAGCCCGAGGGUUUUGUCGAUCCGAAAAAUGCUGGAAAGGUAUGCAAGCUUCAGAGAUCCAUUUAUGGAUUGAAGCAAGCAUCUAGGAGUUGGAACAUUCGUUUUGAUGAAGUAGUCAAAGGGUUUGACUUCACCAAGAACGAAGAAGAGUCUUGUUUUUACAAGAAGGUUAGUGGGAGCUCUGUAGUAUUUCUAAUCUUAUAUGUGGAUGACAUAUUACUGAUUGGAAAUAACAUUCCUAUGCUUGAGUCCGUAAAGACUUCACUGAAAAAUAGUUUUUCGAUGAAGGACUUAGGGGAAGCGGCAUAUAUUCUGGGUAUUAAGAUCUAUAGAGAUAGAUCGAGAAGGCUUAUAGGUUUGAGCCAAGAUACUUAUAUUGACAAAGUGUUGAAGCGGUUCAGCAUGGAUGAGGCAAAGAAAGGGUUCUUGCCUAUGUCACAUGGCAUACAUCUCAGCAAGACUCAGUGUCCUUCGACUGCUGAUGAGCGGGAUCGCAUGAGUAGAGUGCCAUAUGCCUCGGCUAUUGGAUCUAUCAUGUAUGCAAUGAUAAGUACUCGCCCAGAUGUUUCAUAUGCGCUAAGUAUGACAAGCAGACACCAAUCUGAUCCAGGUGAGAGUCACUGGACAGCGGUGAAAAACAUUCUUAAGUACUUGAGAAGGACUAAAGAUAUGUUCCUCGUCUAUGGAGGUCAGGAGGAGCUCGUUGUAACAGGUUACACCGAUGCUAGUUUCCAAACCGACAGAGAUGAUUCAAAGUCACAAUCAGGAUUUGUGUUCACGCUAAAUGGUGGUGCUGUUAGUUGGAAGAGUUCCAAGCAGGAGACGGUGGCCGAUUCUACGACAGAAGCCGAGUACAUCGCGGCUUCGGAAGCCGCGAAGGAAGGUGUUUGGAUAAGGAAUUUCCUCAUUGAGCUUGGUGUGUUCCCGAAUGCGUCCAGCCCAUUGAAUCUCUACUAUGAUAACAAUGGGGCAAUUGCGCAAGCAAAGGAGCCAAGGAACCACCAGAAGAACAAACACGUAAUGCGGCGAUUUCAUCUCAUUCGAGACUUCGUUAACCGGGGUGAGAUCAAGAUAUGCAAAAUACACACGGAUCUGAACAUUUCUGAUCCGUUGACAAAACCACUCCUGCAGGCUAAGCAUGAUGCGCAUGUAAGAGCUAUGGGUAUUAGGUACCUUCUAGAUUGACUCUAGUGCAAGUGGGAGACUGUUGGAGGUAUGCCCUAGAGGCAAUCAUAGAGAUGAUGAUAUUCCAUUUGUAUCCAUGAUUUGUAUAUUGUGUUCAUUGAAUAUCCAUUAAAGGCUACUUGAAUUGAUUUGCAAUUAUGUGAAUUGUAUGUGAAACUCUUUACUUGUAUGGUUAUUCUAAAGUUGUCCCUAGUCGGAGUUCAUGUGAGGACACACAUUAAUAUUAGACUAGCACAUGUAUUAGUUGAUGACUAUGUUUCACAAGUCAUGGACAUGAAGAUGUUGAACUAAUAAUGUGGACACAUGUGGAGACAUGUGUUAGGACUGACCCAACACGAGAAGUAGUUCUCUCUUUAAACAACAUAUACGCUUUAUCCUUAGACCUGAGAUUGUCGCAUGUAUUCUAGAUGUGGAUUGACCUACUUAGGGGCUAUCAAACGCUACGCCGUAACAGGGUAGUUAUAAAGGUAGCUUUUGGGUUUGUCAAGAAGCAUGCUAUGAGACAUGGUCAAUCAAGAUGGGAUUUGCCCCUCUCUGAUUGAGAGUGAUAUCUCUGGGCCCCUCGAGUGAUCGGAUCAGAAAAUGCAUGGCCAUGCUACGUACGGUUAAGAGUUAACCUACAAAGGGAUUCCGAAUCACAGGAUCGAGAAAGAGCGGUCGGCUUGAGGCUAGACCAAAUAUCGUGAGGCAAAGGGAAUAGCAUGUAUAUUAUGUUGUGAUGGUUCCUCUGAUAUGAUCUUCGUGUGCGUAUAGGAGUUGGCACGUCUUGCUAGAGGCCGCUACCGACUAUUGGGCCGAGUAGGAGUACUCGGGCCAUGUCUAUACGUAUCCGAACCCAUAGGGUCACACACUUAAGGGGCUGGAAGCCCAAUUCGGAUCUGAUCCGAGUUGGAUUAGGUUUAGGAGUACUAAUGGGCCUCGGAUCUAGAGGCCCAUCAGGAACCUCUAUAAAUAGAGGGGUGGGGGCGCCCUAGGGUUUACACCUUUUGGCGAAACACACCUGCCGCGCCUCCCACGCCCUCGCCUGUUGCAACUCGCGGAUCUAGCAGUCCGGCUUGCGACGCUUCCUCCCUGCACGUGUGGAUACCUUGGAGGUGUUGCGCCUGCAGCACUUGGAUGAGCCAUCGACAAGCCGCCGACGAGCCACGACGAGCCGACGACGAGCCGUGGCACCGGAGGCGAUCUUGCUGCACGUGGACGAGCUGCUGAGGAGCUGCUGGACGUGAUCGACUACGUACGACUACGUGAUCGUCUUCACUGCACCGACGCAUAUCUACAUCUUCCGCACCAGUAGUGCGUCGAGUGGUAAUCCCGUGAUCCUUAUACGGCAGUUCUUCCUGGUUAUACGCGGUAGAAAAUUUUGUUUUGCGCUAGCGUAGCCUACCUCGUAUCCCAACACCGCAGUCUCGGGUCCGGCGCGGGGUGCCCCCCAGGAGUCCGCUCGGGGGGCUCCUCGGGGAUCCAUGGCUGCUGCCCCCGCCGCCGUGCCUGCUGGCGGGGGCAACGGGGCGGCGACAAGCGGCCACUGCCAGACGCCCCGGGGUCGGCGUCUGGCUCCGAGUCGAAAGCGCGCACGCCGCCCCUGCGCUUCGAGGGCGUAAGUUGACUCCCUCCGCACGUCAUCUUUCCUUUCUGCUUUCAUAUGUUUCUGUUUGACGCCUAUCCGUCGACGUUGCAGCGCUUCUCCCCGUGGCGUCAGCCUGCGGCUGGCCCAAGAAGAUGCUACGGUCGUCGUCCUCCUCCGGGGGACGGGCCGCCACCCCGCCAGCGGCGACUGGCGGGGUUCCUGGCGUGGCCGCAGGUCCCUCGGCGGAGGUGGCCGCUAAGGAGCCGGUCGUCGGGACGGCGGCGGGGCCGGCCGCAGGAGGGGGAGCAGACCCUACUCUGCCUGCGGCCCCACCGGUCGUCCUUCCGGCUCGGGUCGCGAUUCCCCCGGGCCCGCAAGCCGGGGAGGUGAUCGACCUCGACGCCGAUGAGGCGGAGGAGGCGGCGAUGGCGGUGGGCGGGGCGGAUGCCCCUACUGUCGUGGCGAGGUCGGAGGCAGAGGGGGCACUGGCUCCCGAGGGUGCGGCGGCGGUGUAGGCACCGGUGUCGGAGGCCGAGGUCUCCGUCCCGGUUGCUCCCACGGGGGUGCUUCCGGCGGCUGAAAUGGAGGUGCCGGCAGAGGUGCCGUCGGAGGCCAUGGCGGCGACGGGUGCGCAGGUGCCGGAGCCGCCGGCGGAUCUGGGGGUUCCUGGCGUCGUACUGUCGUCGUCGACGACGACGUCAGAGUCGGGCCUUGUUCAGCCCUCGGCUUCCUCCGUCCCCGGGGCGUGGAGAGGGCCCAUCCUCCGCUGGUCGUCCCGCGACGACCCGCCGCGGCGCCUCUACGCGCUGGAUGAUGCCACCGAGUGGCAGAAGUGGCAGGUGGUGCAUGGCGGCGUCGCCCGGGCUCAGGCAGCGCUGACCUCGGCGUUGGGAGCUUUGGCCGACACUGUAGUCCCCGGCAACCAGGUAUGCUCGUUUUUGCCGCUCGGUGAUGAGCUCUUUUCUUUUUACUUUUUGAUCUUACCGUCAUGCUACUUUGCAGGCUCUUCAGGAGGCCAGCCUGGAGAAAUCCGACUUCGUCCGGUGGCAGCGGAACCUCUGGGAGCACUACAACACCGAGAGGGAGCGUUCCAGGGGUCUGGCCCUGCAGCUCGGUGCUGCCCAGGGGGCCGUUCGCGACCUGGAGGGGCGCGAGCAGGCGGCGCUAGAGGGGGCGCGGCGUGCCGAGGCCAAACUCCAGGCUGUCGCGGAGAAGGCCCGCCUUGAUCUUGAGGAAUUCCAGGCUGCUAUGGCAAGGGCGCGCCAUGAUGCCGAGGGGCUAAGAGCAGCUGCUACCGAGCGGGCCCGCCGGGACGCCGAGGAACUGGCGCGGCUGAGGGGGGAGAAUGCAGCCCUUCGGGCGGAACGCGACCAGUUCCGUUUGCAGGUGGACGGGCUCCAGACCGCCGUGUCCCUCAGUGUCGCCCGGGAACACGAGCUGAAGGCCAAGGCCGACGGUGAGGCUCUUUCUGCUUUUGUAUUUCCGUGCUGUCGGUGUUUCGUUUUCUUUAACUUGGUGAGGUUUCUUGAUCGGCUCCUGCAGAGGACCUUGCCAAGUUGCAGGCUUCGCUCGACGAGGAGCGCGGCAAGCACGGCGCCUUGCGGGAUGCGGUCCGCGUCGUCUACGAGGACUUCGGCGUCGCUCCGGAAGAAGGGUCGAGCUCGCUGCCGGCUCGUGUUCUUGAGGUGCGCCGUCGCCGUCGUGAGAUUGCUGUGGAUGCGCUUCACCUUGGUGUGCGGCGCACCUUCGGGGUCUUCGGCUCUCACUAUGCCGACAUUAAUUUUGUCGGGAUGAGUGAGGGGUACUGCGUCGGCUACACCGACGCCGAGCUGGACGAGAUCGACUCCGCGGUGACCGCGCCGGCGGAGGCCCUCGCGAAGCUUUUGGAGGAUGAAGCCGUUCCCCCUGCCGACCCUGAAGCCACUCCUGCCGGCCCCGACGCCCCUGCCGCCGCCGACCCUGAAGCCGCCGCCGUCGCCGACCCCGAAGCCGCCGCCGUCGCCGACCCUGAAGCCGUUGCUCCAGCCGACCCUGGGACUACCGCUCCGGCCGACCCUCCUGUGAAUUAACUGUACCGGGCAUGUGCCCAAAAGAUGUUUGUAUUAAGUCAGUCGCUUGGAACUUGUUCGCGUUGGCCAUCCGGGCCUGUUCUUAUGACUUUCUAUUUUGUGCUAAGGAAACCGUUUCCCUUUGAUAUUCCUUUGGUUUUUGAAAGCGUUCGGAUGCGUUGCCGGGCGUAUCAGUAAGUUUUUGAUGAGCGAAGGUACCGUAGCCGCUGGGGCGUAGGCUUUUUCGCAGUCCGAUCGCUACUUGGCUGAGUACCGUUCACGCAUCCUUAUCUUUUUGCGUCCAAAGGUUUUCGAAAGGGAGUGUCCGGUUCUUUGAAAGAAGAUCAAAUGUUUUCUUUUUAACGGUGCCCAGCAGCUGGGGUUGGGACCACUGAUAGCCCCUGAGGGGUAUGCGACCUUGGAACGAGGCCAGGGUCGGAUACCCCUGAGCUUAAACGAAAACGGGGGCAAAGCUAUGUAUAACUUAUAAACAAGAGCUAUGGGUAGAAGCGCCUUAGCUGUUCUAUGUUCCAGGCAUUGCCGAAGAUUUGCCCAUCGGGAGUUGCCAGCUUGUAGGUGCCUGGCCGUAGCACCUGUGCGACGAUGAACGGGCCUUCCCAUGGGGGAGUCAACUUGUGCCGACCCCUGUUGUCUUGGACGAGGCGGAGCACUAGAUCUCCAACGUUGAAAGCGCGGCCUUGUAUCCUGCGGCUGUGGUAACGCCGUAGGGCCUGCUGGUACUUAGCCGAGUGCAGGAGGGCUACGUCUCGCGCUUCGUCGAGUUGGUCUUGUGCGUCCUCGAGCGACGCCUGGUUUCCCUGUUCGUCGUAUGCUUUGACUCUUGGUGAUCCGUACUCCAAGUCGGUUGGCAGGAUGGCCUCAGACCCGUAAACCAUGAAGAACGGGGUGAAUCCUGUCGCCCGGCUGGGGGUUGUCCUCAGGCUCCAGAGGACUGCUGGGAGUUCCGCAACCCAUCGUCCGCCGAAUUUUUUAAGGCGGUCAAAGAUCCGUGGCUUGAGACCCUGAAGUAUCAUGCCGUUGGCUCGUUCGACUUGCCCGUUCGUGCGGGGGUGCGCAACCGCCGCCCAAUCCACUCGAAUGUGGUGGUCGUCGCAGAACUGGAGGAAUCUCUUUCCGGUGAACUGCGUACCGUUGUCCGUUAUGAUGGAGUUAGGAAUCCCGAAGCGGUGGAUGAUGUCGGUGAAGAAUUGUACCGCCUGCUCGGACUUGAUCUGCGCCAUAGGCCUUGCCUCGAUCCAUUUGGAAAACUUGUCGACAGCGACGAGUAGGUGGGUGAAUCCCCCUGGCGCCCUUUUGAAGGGUCCAACGAGAUCCAACCCCCAGACCGCGAACGGCCAUGUGAUGGGGAUGGUUUGCAACGCCUGUGCGGGCAGAUGGGUUUGGCGGGCAAAGAAUUGGCAUCCUUCGCAAGUGCGGACUACCUGGGUAGCAUCCGCGACCGCGGUUGGCCAGUAGAAACCUUGCCGGAAGGCAUUGCCCACCAGCGUCCUUGGCGCGGCGUGGUGACCGCAGGCCCCGGCGUGGAUGUCCUGGAUCAGCGCCCUUCCCUGCUCGAUCGGGAUGCAGCGCUGGAGGAUCCCCGUGUGGCUUCGCUUGUAAAGCUCCUGGUUGAUGAUGGCGAAAGAUUUCGCUCGACGCGUGAUCCUGCAGGCUUUGGUCUUGUCAGUUGGGAGCGCGUCGUGGAUAAGGUAUUCGAGGUACGGGGCUCUCCAAUCGGUCGGGGGAUCGGCCCCCGCCGCGGGACCCGCCUCGAUUUCCAUAACCGCGGGGUCGGAGGGCUUGGCUUCCGCGGCCGGGUCGGGCGGGGCGGCGUCGUUUCCCUCGGGGUGGGUGUUCGGGUCCAGGAUAGAUGGCGUAUUGCCGACCUUUCCUGGCUCGGAUCCCGACCCCAAGGCUGGGCAUGCCUCGCCGACCCCUGCUGGCUCCGGGUAGCGGAUCGAAGGCUUCAGCUGGUCGCUAACGAAGACGCCGUCGGGGAUGGGUGUCCGGCCAGACGCCGCCUUUGCGAGCUCGUCGGCGGCUUCGUUGAAGCGCCUUGCGACGUGGUUGAGCUCCAAUCCGUCGAACUUGUCCUCGAGCUUACGUACCUCGUUGCAGUAGGCGGCCAUUUUUGGGUCAUGGCAGCUCCAUUCUUUCAUGACUUGUUCGACGACCAACUGGGAAUCGCCUCGGACGUCCAGUCGACGGAUGCCCAGCUCGAUGGCGAUGCGAAGCCCGUUGAGAAGGGCUUCAUACUCAGCAACAUUGUUGGAUGCAGGAAAAUGGAGGCGAAUCAUGUACCUGAUGCGCACGCCCAGUGGAGAGACGAAGACGAGGCCUGCUCCGGCGCGGGCCCUCAUUAGCGACCCGUCGAAGUACAUCGUCCAGUACUCCUGCUCCUCUAUUGCCGUUGGGGCUUGUACCUCUGUCCACUCGGCCACGAAAUCGGCAAGUACCUGGGACUUAAUGGUGGUGCGGGGGACGUAGGUAAUACCCUGAUCCAAUAGCUCGAGCGCCCACUUCGCGAUCCUUCCUGUCGCAUUCGGGUUCCGGAUUACUUCACCAAGCGGGAAUGAGGAAACAACCGUUACCGGGUGGGAGGUGAAGUAGUGACGCAGCUUCCUCUUCGUGAUGAGGAUGGCGUAGACCAGCUUUUGGAUCUGCGGGUAUCGUGACUUGGACUCGGACAACACCUCGCUGAUGAAGUACACCGGGCGUUGCACCUUAAGAGCGUGCCCCUCCUCCUCCCUCUCCACCACUAGGGCCGCGCUGACCACCUGGGUGGUUGCCGCGACGUAGAGUAAGAGGGUCUCACCGUCGGCCGGCGGAACCAGGAUCGGGGCCUUUGUCAGGAGGUUCUUGAGCCGGUCAAGCGCCUCCUGCGCCUCGCUGGUCCACUCGAAGCGGUCGGAUUUCUUUAGGAGCCUAUAGAGGGGGAGUCCUCGCUCGCCGAGGCGCGAGAUGAAGCGACUUAGGGAUGCUAAGCAUCCCAUGACGCGCUGCACUCCCUUCAUGUUCCGGAUCGGCCCCAUGCCGCUGAUGGCCGCUAUCUUCUCCGGGUUCGCCUCGAUGCCGCGUACGGAGAUGAUGAAGCCUAGCAGCAUGCCCCUUGGGACACCGAACACGCAUUUCUCUGGGUUAAGCUUGAUAUGCUUAUCCCUUAGCCUUUCAAAGGCUAACUCCAGGUCGGGAACAAGCUGAUCGCUCUUCCUGGAUUUGACCACGAUGUCGUCAACAUAAGCCUCAACGGUUCGCCCGAUGAGAUCUCCAAAGCACUUAAGCAUACAUCGCUGGAAGGUAGCCCCCGCGUUUUUGAGGCCGAAUGGCAUCUUAACGUAACAGUAGGGGCCAAAGGGGGUGAUGAAGGAGGUGGCGAGCUGGUCGGCCUCUUUCAUCGCGAUCUGGUGGUAGCCGGAGUAUGCAUCGAGGAAGCUGAGUGUUUCGCACCCGGCUGUCGAGUCGACUAUUUGAUCUAUUCGCGGCAAAGGGAACGGAUCCUUUAGACACGCUUUGUUGAGACCGGUAUAAUCGACACACAUUCUCCAUUUCCCAUUCUUUUUCGGUACAAGAACAGGAUUGGCCAACCACUCGGGGUGGCGUACUUCCUUGAUGAAGCCGGCCGCCAGGAGCUUUUCGAGUUCUUCGCCAAUGGCCCUGCGCCUUUCUUCGUCGAAACGGCGCAAGCCCUGCUUCACCGGUUUAGAGCCGGCCCUGAUGUUCAGGGAAUGCUCGGCGACUUCCCUCGGGAUGCCUGGCAUGUCCGAGGGUUUCCACGCAAAAAUAUCACCGUUUGCGCGGAGGAAGCCAACGAGCGCGCUUUCCUAUUUGGGGGAUAGGGCUGCGCUGAUGCGCACCACCCCUCCGCUGGAACAACCGGGAUUGAGGGGGACUUCUUUGAUACCUUCGGUGGGCUCAAAGGGGGUUCCUGACUGCUUGGCGUCGGAUCGGUCCUCAGCGGUUUCCUCAAGCUGGGCCAUCAUGUUGCCCGAGACGGUGAUAGCCGCGGCGUACUCGCAGCACUCGACGUCGCACUCGUAUGCCUUCUGGAAGGUCGUGCCGACGGUGAUGACUCCGUUGGGUCCCGGCAGCUUGAGCUUGAGGUAGGUGUAGUUGGGGAUUGCCAUGAACUUCGCGUAGCAUGGGCGGCCCAAGAUGGCGUGGUAGGUUCCGCGAAAGCCCACCACUUCGAAGGUGAGGACCUCCUUUCUGUAGUUGGAAGGGGUCCCAAACGUGACGGGCAGGUCGAUCUGCCCGAGGGGCGUCGCCUGCUUUCCUGGCACAACGCCAUGGAAGGGGCCCUUGCUAGGACGGAGACGGGAACGGUCAAUCCCCAUGGUGUCGAGGGUCUCAGCGUAGAGGAGGUUGAGGUCGCUUCCCCCAUCCAUGAGUACCUUGGUAAGACGCGUUGUGCCAAUGAUGGGGUCGAUGACGAGAGGAUAGCGCCCUGGGUGCCGGACGCGCCCAGGGUGGUCAGAUCUGUCGAAGGUGAUGGCCGGCGCGGACCAAUUGAGGAAAGUCGGGGUCGCAGGCUCGGCAGCGUAAACCUCCCGACGCUCUAGCUUGUGUUGGCGCCUGGUGUCGUACGCAGCGGGUCCCCCGAAGAUCAUGAAGCAGCCGUCCACUUUAGGAAAGCCGUCUUCCUUCUCCUCGUCGCCAAUGUUUUCCUCAUCGGGCUUCCGUUUUCGAUCGCCCUUCACCGGGUUGCCCACGAAGAACCUCUUCAUGAGGUUGCAGUCUUUGUAGGCGUGUUUGACGGGGAACUCGUGGUUCGGGCACGGUCCCUCGAGCAGCUUGUCGAAGAAGCCGGGUGUGCCCUCGGGGGGCGGCUGCCCUCGCUUUCGUUCGACUGCGGCCACGAGGGGGGCCUCGCGCCGCUGCUUGCUCUUCUUCUUCUGUUGCUGGCGGUUGGAGGUGCCUUCGCCGGCGUCCUCCUCCCACUUUGCCUUGCCUUUGGAACGAUCAAAGAUCGCUCCGACAGCCUCUUCGCCGGAGGCAUAGCUGGUGGCGAUGUUGAGGAGCUCCUCCGUGGUUCGUGGACCUCGGCGCCCUAGUUCGUGGACGAGGGGCCGGCAUGAGGUCCCUGCUAGGAAAGCUCCUAUGACGUCGGCGUCGGCGACGUUGGAGAGCUCGGUGCGCUUUCUGGAGAAGCGCCGGAUGUAAUCCCGGAGGGACUCUUCCGCCCCCUGGCGGCAGCUCCGGAGGUCCCAGGAGUUGCCAGGGCGAGUGUAUGUCCCUUGGAAGUUUCCUACGAAAACCUCCUUCAGGUCGUUCCAGUUACGAAUGCGUCCUGAAGGGAUGUGCUCUAGCCAGGCUCUCGUGGAGUCUGCCAGAAACAGAGGUAAGUUGCGGAUGAUGAACAGGUCAUCGUCCGCCCCGCCGGCCUGACAUGCGAGUCGGUAAUCGCUGAGCCAUACUCCAGGGUUGGUCUCCCCCGAGUAUUUGGCCACGCUCGUAGGUUGCCGGAAGCGCGGCGGGAAGGGCGCAUUCAGGAUGCGCCCAGAGAAGGCCCGAGGUCCAGCUGCUCCAGGGCUCGGACUGCGAUCCUCCCCGCUGUCGUAGCAUCCGCCACGGUGGACGUGGUAGCCACGGUCCGCCCCGUCCGCCCUGUCCGCGCGGGAACGUCUCCGCGCGUUCAGUGUGUCGCGGGCGUCGCGAACGGGACCGACGCGCUGGUGGAUGGAUCGGGCCUCGCCUAUCGCGAGUGGCGGUGCUCGCUGGGCGGUCGCAGUUGGAUUCGCCUCCGGAGGGGGUUGAUGGAAGAUUCCCCCCGCCGCUCCGGGGGGGCGCCCUGCGUUGCCCUGCUGGCAUUCUGGCCGCGUCGUCGAGACGCCGAACUUUCCGCCUGCUGGACGGCGGCGCACUCGAGUAGGUUACGCAUCUCUUGGCGCGCCCGUCGCUCCUCAGGCGUUGCCGGCUCGGGGAGCUGUCGGAGCAGCACCGCCGCAGCGACGACGUUCUGGCUGGCGCGGGCAAAGAGCGGUGGACGUUCUCCAUCCGCGCAGAUGCGUUCCUGGACGUCGCGCGCUCGUUGUCGUGCUCCCCCCUCGUGGUGGGGGUGCUCUAUUUCUUGACGUGCGCCCAUGUGCUCUUCCGGUAGCAGAGAGCCCUCUGGCGCCCUGGGUAGGGCCCCAGUCGUAGCUGCGGCGCGCGAGGGGGGAGGCCGUUGCCUCCCCUCGGCACCAUCGCCAUUGGACCCCUCGGAGUGCGCGUCAGCCAUGAAGCACUCGCGCGAGGGGUCAGGAUUCUCGUUACUAGAGCUAGUGUCGGAGGCUGCCCUUGCCACGCCUACGAGCUCGUUGCUCGCGGGCGACGUGGCGAGGGACCGCGUUAGGAGGCGGCCAUGAGCCCCCGCGGCGUUGCGUAGCCCGAAGAGCCAUCCUUCUAGUGAGGCCCUUCCGGCUGGUGUCCGGCCGCUCGUCAUCGUCGUCCUGGCGGUGGUGCCGAGGGCAGCAGGACGAGCGGGCAGGACGUGGACAGGGAUCAGCUCGAUCCCGUUCCCGGUGGCCAGAAAGUCCAGGCUCCCGAAGCGGAUCAGGGAGCCCGGAGCGAAGCUGCGAUCGCGAUUGGCCAUCUGAGACUUGGUGAUGUACGCGCAAAGGUCCCCUACCUGGCGCGCCAACUGUCGUUGUCAAGAUCAGCGGAUCAGGACUUAGACUAGUGAAUUUCUUUUAUGCGCGUGAGCCUCAGAUGGUUGCACGGGAGACACGGAUUAGACUGGUUCGGGCAAAGGGAGCCCUACGUCCAGUAUCGAGGAUGCUCGUGUUGCCCGCGCGGGGGUUCUGUAGUAGGGGGUUACAGACGGGUGAGAGAGGGACUGGUCCCAGGUCUCUUGUGUUCUAGGAGGAGUGUUGAUCUUUCGAGAUGCCGAUCCCUUCCCCCGGCUCUAGGUUCCGCCUUUUAUAUCGCAAGGGGCCGGCCGGAGUUACAAUUGGGAACCGGGCAAAAGGUAAAGAGUGAGAGGGUAAAAAAGGUCUGGCGGGAAGGAGGGCAGGGGCCCAUGGCGCCCGAUGUCCUGCCGACCCUGAACGCGUGCCGUCGUGCAUGCUCGAAGGGGUUGCCGCCGGGUGCCAAGUGUUGCAGCUCCUCGCAGGUAGCUACUUCGACGUUUGUAGGUAUCAGGAUAGAUCAUGAUGAGGGGGUUUCAUCGUCACCUUGCCGUCCGUUAGGGAGGACGGUGGAUACCGCCGCUCUGACGAUGGCUUGUAGAGGGGGAGCUCCACGCCUGUACUGCCGCUUGCGCGGGGCCCGAGGGCGUGCGGGGCCCAAGGACGGGGCCGCCCCUUACUCCGCUCCGGUCGCCGCAGAUCAUGAGUACUUUGUGACGAAUGGGAGCUGGCCGCCAGUACUGUAGCUCGUACAGGAUGGUUGUGCGCGGGUACUUGCGCCGGGUCGCGUGGGGGGCGCGGUCGCCCUGCGCUCUGCCUUCUCUGCGGCGCAUUUAUGGUGAGGCCGACGGGGGGCCCCACCGGAUUUGUCUUGUCUACGCGGAGCGUAUCCGAGGAGGAUUCUGACCCGUGGGCCUCAGCGUGCCCGACUCCUUCGCUCGGGGUCGGGCGAGGCGGAACCUUUGUGGUACAGGGUCGGGGGCUCCCGACCCUGGGGGCGCGGUCGGUCGAGGCGGAGACCCUGCGGAGGGAGGUCGGGUGCUCCCGGUCCUGACGCUGGGGUCGGUCGAGGCGGAGACUUGAUCACACUUUGGUGGGCCUGGGCCUUCAUGUUUGCUUCUUCAAGCUGUGUAUUAGGGGGCUGUUGAUAUUUCCCCCC